UGAGAAAAAUUAAGUUGACUUGUCCAAGUUUCCCUGUAUAUGAUGCAAGUUGCAACCCAUGCGGCACUUCAAGAAUUGCACAUGGUUAAUUAACCAUGUGCACUCUUCUCCAGUGUAUGGGCACAACGGGCUGGAGGAAGCCAGCAGGAGGAAUUCAUCACAGUAAACCAGACAGGCAAAUGAAGGACACUAAAGCGAGGAGGCAGUUUUCAUAUUUGGUCAAGCUUUUUUGAAGUUCUCAUGUAACCUGCUGAGUUCCCCUGCAGUCAUAGGGAUAUUUUUGGCUUCUCUCUCUCUCUCCCACAUCACACAUCCAGGCCAUAUCCAAAUUCUGCUGCUGCUUCAUCCUCUGCAGCUCUGAUAUUCACUUUUAUUUCCAUUCCCACAGCCAAGUGUUUUGUUCAGGUCCUUGUUAUAUUCCAGCUCAACUACUAUACCGGCCUCCCAAACAAUCAUCAUCUCUGCCUAUCAAUUUGAUCCGCUCACUCCUCUUUGAAUCCCUCCGGUGGCUCCACAUCUAUUAUCACAUCAGUUUUUAAACAUCUUGUCACCACCCUUAAAGUUCUACAUAAUUC